GACGAACGCUGGCGGCGUGCUUAACACAUGCAAGUCGAGCGGAGCGGGGACGGGUGAGUAAAACGUGGAUAACCUCCUAUAAGACUGGGAUAACUUAGGGAAACCGGAGCUAAACCGGAUAAUACUAGAUUAAUCCUCGCUGCAUUAGCUAGUUGGUAAGGUAACGGCUUACCAAGGCAACGAUGCCUAGCCGACCUGAGAGGGUGAGCGGCCACACUGGAACUGAGACACGGUCCAGACUCCUACGGGAGGCAGCAGUAGGGAAUCUUCCGCAAUGGGCGAAAGCCUGACGGAGCAACGCCGCGUGAGUGAAGAAGGUCUUCGGAUCGUAAAACUCUGUUAUUAGGGAAGCGGUACCUAAUCAGAAAGCCACGGCUAACUACGUGCCAGCAGCCGCGGUAAUUC
rnacentral:rRNA from 1 species